rnacentral:rRNA from 1 species
CCUGAGAAACCUAAAAGUUCGAAAAGAGAGAUUCAACGUCAGCAUGUAUAGUAUUGACGUGAGUAGUGAUGUCAGUUUUAUUGGUUGGGUUAAACCAAACAAUUAUGACCUGACACAUUUUCAUGUUAUUUUUUAUUGCUGUACAACUGUCGGCGUGCACUUCUCUCUUAGUAGGACGUCCCGACCCGUUGAGUCUUAGCCUACGGCCCAAAUGGAUGCCUUUAAUAUUUUUAUAUUAAAAUCCUUUGGUGUCUCCUGGCCUAAGUGCUUGACGGUGAAAAAUGACUUGGUAUUAAGCCGCAAUUUAUUGUGCGUCCGGCCUGUCGCAAGUUUAUUGACAAUUUCUGUACACAUAGACUAAGUCCUAAGUGUAUGGUAUUGUUGGCUGUUUGCAUGACUGUGCUCUUGGACCGGCUUAGUAUAUACCUGUCAGGGACGCUUAGGCUUUGGGUACUCUCAGGACCCGUCUUGAAACACGGACCAAGGAGUCUAACAUGUACGCGAGUCAUUGGGUAUAUAUUUUCUUUCGGGAAUUUAUAUAAAACAAACCUAAAGGCGAAAUGAAAGUAAAAGCUGGAUCUUGUAUUCAACUUAGGGAUGAUGGGUUAUUAAUUUAUCUCCGCAAUCCCGGGGCGUCUUAAUCUCAUUGCGAGAUGU